rnacentral:misc_RNA from 1 species
GUGAAUCAUCAAAUCUUUGAACGCACAUUGCACUCUCUGGUAUUCCGGAGAGUAUGCCUGUUUGAGGGUCAGUUUAAAUAAAAACCGGCGUGUCUGCUGCGUUUCGUGGUGACGCACUGGAUUUGGGUCGUUUCGCCUUCGGUCAAGUGACCUAAAAUUUUUCAUGAUCUAUUCGAACGAACUUAUGUG